rnacentral:lncRNA from 1 species
UUAUUUGUCCAUAACCUGUUUGAUGAUAUUCUCUCAUUCUUAGGCUACAGAAUUACGCUCUCGUUUAGGGUUCAUUUUGGAUCUCACCGGUAAAAUGUUUUCUACGUCUUUUAAUUUAUUCAACUAUUUUAAUCUGUCAAAUCGUUUUUUCAUUUUGCUGCAAUUCAAGUUCCAAAACCUAAGUCAUCUUUAGAGCGAGUUUGUUCUUUAUAAACACUUUCUCGUGUCUGAGGAUGACGAUGGUGUUUUCACAUUCAUUGACGCGAUGUUUACUCGAGGAACGAAAUGGAUUGCACAUUCCUUGUGCUUUUAGUGCCAAUGCUACAUUUCAUGUUUGAUUCUACAAUGGUGCGUCGAUGUAUCUGGACAUGUAAAAUGCAUUUUCAUUUUCUGUGUUCGAAAAUCGUUUUUUGUAUUCUCGCAUUCUCAAUUAAAGAUUUGAUGGUUCUGAUUUUGAGUACAUAAUGUAAGUUAGAAUUAUCGAUUUGAAAUAAGAGUUUAAUUCGUGAUUGCCGAGAAUCUAAACCAAUGAGUGUUUUUAGAGCAGUUUAUUUAUUAAAAUGAUUGUUUAUUUUUGCAAACAUUUUCAAUAAUUUUUGAAAAAAAUUACGGGUUGUUUUUCCAAACUUAGUGUUAAGGAUCUUGGUCCCAAUACUCGAUUCUAGGAUCUUUUGAUUGUAAUGGUUUGGUUGAGAGAAAAUUCAUUCUAGCGCAUAGAUUAUUGAAAUAUAAGCAUUUUGUCCUCUUUGGCUGCAUUCAAUUAUGAAAGUAAUGUUUUUUUUUUUUGUGUUAGUCAGGCUUCUUCUACUGUACUGUUAUAAAUCUGGAAUAUAUUCUCACGUUUCACGUAUAAUUUUUUCUUGUACAGCAUGUGCUAAGAUUAGCAGAUACUUCUUUACAUAUAUGAGCAUUGCUAUCCUCCUUGGUUGUUUCAUUAGCCUUGAGGGGUUAAAUAAUGAAAAUAAUGCUUAAAAUAAAGAUUUGUUGGAGUUAGUCAGGCUUCUUGUGUUGUUCUAGAUGUGCUUGGAGUUUGGAAUAUACUCCCAUAUUUCAUAAUAAUCAUCUUACAAACCUGCAUCCGUGGUUGUUUCCUCCGUGGUUGUUUUCAUUAGUCUGGAGAGAAGUUAAAUAAUGAAAAUGAUGCUUAAAAUAAAGAUUUGUUUGAGUUAGUCAUGCUUUUUACUUUUUAAAUGAAAGAAAGUCAAAGUGUUUGGAUUCAGAAUUUGUAGAGUGAAUUUGCUAGAAAAGUUUGUAUUUUUUUAUAAAAGUGUAAAAUGUAUGUUACCAAUGAGUGUUUUAAGAUCGGUUUAUUUUUUAAAAUAAUUGUUCAUUUUUGCAAACAUUUUCUUUUAAUUUUUGUAGUUGAUCAGGCUUCUUCUACUCUACUGUUAUAAAUCUGGAAUAUAUUCUCACAUUUCAUGUAUAAUUUUUCUUGUACAGCAUGUGCUAAGAUUAGCAUAUACUUCUUGACAUAUAUGAGCAUUGCUAUCCUCCUUGGUUGUUUCAUUAGCCUUGAGGGGUUAAAUAAUGAAAAUAAUGCUUAAAAUAAAGAUUUGUUGGAAUUAGUCAGGCUUCUUGUGCUGUUCUAGAUGUGCUUGGAGUUUGGAAUAUACUCCCAUAUUCCAUAAUAAUCAUCUUAUGAGUUUUUCUUUCCUCUGGUUGUUUUCAUUAGUCUUGAGAGAAGUUAAAUAAUGAAAAUGAUGCUUAAAAUAAAGAUUUGUUGGAGUUAGUCAUGCUUUUUACUUUCUAAAUGAAAGUGAAAAUGUUUGGAUUUAGUCUAUUACAGUGAAUUUGCUAGAUAAGUUUGGUUGUGAGAAAUUUGUAUUUUUUUUUAUAAAAGUGUAAAAUGUAUGUUUACAAAAUAUUUGUUUUAAUAAAUAUAUGAAUAAUUAAAUUAAAAACAUAAAAUUUAUUCAAGUUUAUUUUUUUUUAAUAUUUGCAAAGUUAAUGUUUGUAUAUAAAUAUGAAAGUGUAAGAAACAAGAAGGAUAGAUUAGUGAAAACAUUAGAAGCACUCUGAUCUGAAUGUGCAUUUGAAUCUGCAAACAUUGUGCACAUGAAAGGAGAAGGUAAUGGUUUUCACUGUUUAUUUAUGUUGAUCCUCUCCCUUUCAUUCACAUUCAAAUGAGAGAUGUGAGGGUCCAUUCGUGUUCAUAAAUAGUUUAGGGUUAAGUCUUGUAGAGAAAUGGUAAUUUUGUUAAUGAAACUAACUUAUUUAAGUUUAAAAAUAAAUCAUUUUUAAAAUUACACAUUUAAGAUAUUUGCUAAAAAUGUAUUAAUUAUUAUAAAUUGAAAGAUAAUUAGUUGAACUAAUAUAUAAAAGGUGAGAAAAUGUUUCUAAAUUUAAUAAGCAUGGAUAGUACGAAGUACAAAGAAGUAAAAAUAGAAUGCAUAUAAAUAUAUAAAUGGAAAAGAUAGUGUAAAUAAAAAAAGGUAAAUAAAAUAUAAAUAAGAAAUACAUAAAUUGUUAAAAUCUUAAUGAAGUGAGACAAAAAGUACGUAAUUAAAAACAGUUUGUAAGUAAAUCAUUUCUGAACAAUUUGAAUUUGUUAUUUAGUUAGUGUUUCAAAAUAUUUUUGUCAUCUUCAUUGAUGUAGUUUAAUAUAUAAUUUUUUAUUUAUUUCAAUUUAAGUUUUGUUAAUUUAUUUGAUCAUUUUCUUUUUACUAUUUUAUAUUAUUUAAAUUUGAGAUGAUCACGAAGGUUAAUAAAUUUCAAAUUAUAUGUGCAAGUUAUAAAAUGAAGGAUACAAAUCCAGUAUAUGUCAACGUAAUUUAGACAUCUUAUAAAUUUGUAUAUAUGUCAGAUUAUGAAGUUAUUUUUUAUUUGAGAUUAACUUCUCUGAAUUAUGUUUGUAUAUAAAUUUGUGGAUUUUAUUUUAUAAAUUUUGAGAAAAAUUUUGGAUUCGAUUUUUUUUUUUUGAAUUAUAUAAUCUGGAAUGUUUUUUUAAAAAAAGAUGAAAGACACUCAAAUUGGUGAUAAAACUAAUGCAAGAAAAGAGUGGAGGUCCUUGGGUGCUCGGGUGAGAUAAAAUUGAAGAAUAAAAAGGGUGUUUGGGAUUGCAAAGGUUAAUUUUUUUUUAUUGAAGGAAAAAAAAGGAGUAUUUUCACAUGUAGUAUGGGGGUGUGGCAAGAAUUUAUGGAGGUGCAUGAAGAAGCAGCCCUACAUCUGACCCAUUUGAUAAACAAAUUAAUGCCUUUUCUUCCUGCACCCUAUCAAAUUCAAACUUGUACGAUAUCACUAAUGUGAAAUAUAAAAGAAAAAUGUUCUCUUUAGAUAGAAUGUAGAUCAUAAUGUUUUCUAGAUUUGGUUCUUAAAUAAAAUUUUAGAUUUGGGUUCCAGAACACCUUUACAAAUUAUUUCUAAAAUAGUUUUUUGGAAUGGG